GCGGGUAUGGCGGAACUGGCAGACGCACUAGAUUUAGGAUCUAGCGCUUCACGGCGUGGGGGUUCGACUCCCUUUACCCGCA
rnacentral:tRNA from 1 species